UACCAAGAAAUCGAGUUAUGUUGGUAAAAAGACAGUUAGACUUAAUGCUUUGUAUAGAGGUAAAAUUUAAGUGCAUUUGUAUAAUUUAUUAGUUGCUUGUAACUGAAUCUGUGAAAUCCUUUAGGGAAACUGGGAUUAGGUACCCCAUUAUUUUUGGAUAUAAAUUAACCAGAGUACUAUGAAUAUUAAAGAUUUAAAACUCAAAGAACUUGGCGGUGUUUUAGACCACUCAGGGGAACCUGUCUCAUAAUCGAUAAUCCGCGUUGUACCUGACCUUUUUUUGUUGUUCAGUUUGUAUACCGUUGUCGUCAGGUAACUUUUUAGAAACUAGAAGUUAGCAGUAAAAAAAUAAUUUAGUACGUCAAAUCAAGGUGCAGCUAAUAAAAAGGGGAGGAUGGGUUACAAUUAUAAUUUGUAAACGGAAGGUGGACUUGAAAGUAAAUUUAAUAUAAAUAGUUUGAAUAAGGCUCUGAAACGUGU
rnacentral:rRNA from 1 species